rnacentral:tmRNA from 1 species
GGGGCCGACCGGAUUAGACAGCGAGAUCAAUUGGUUGGUAAGCAUGCCGAGCUAUGAAAUUAAUGCUCGUUAAUAUCUAUUUCAACCUUUUUAAAUGGCGAAAAUAACUACGCUUUAGCUGCUUAAUAAUUCGAAGUAUAGUAGAAUCAAGCCCAGUCCCGCUAGGCGGGAGAGCUAAAUGUCUCUUAAUAGCCCUUGUUGAUGGCGAUUAGAUUAGAGGCACCAUUAAAGUCAACAUAGAAUACAAAUGGCUUUGGUUUGUAUUUAAAUCUUAAAAAGCUAAGGAAUCAAUAGGCGGUUUUCGGUCAGUUGUUUCUCGAAAAUCAAUCGAAAACUAAGCAUGUAGAAAGCUAAUUAAUGGCUUGUUUGGACGAGGGUUCGAAUCCCUCCGGCUCCACU